UGUGUGUGUGUGUGUGUGUGGGUGUGUGUGUGCGGGUGUGUGUGUAGCACUUGCAAAACAUGGACUUUAACCGCCCACCUGUAUCGAUUGGUUUAUGCAGCUUGCGGUACCUGUUGAUAAGACGGCAUCACGCGCAGCACUGUCAUUUACUAUAGUGACGUGUGAUACGCGUAUAUACGCUAUAGUAACAAGCGUAAAACGGAACAAUUCGCACUGCAGAAAUUUUGAAAACCCCGCAAAGUUAAAGAACUGUGCAUAGGAUAGAAGAUGGGUGGAACAUCGCGGUACCCCUACCCUGGAGCACCAGCUCCAGGCUACCCUGGAGCACCAGCACCAGGCUACCCUGGAGCACCAGCACCAGGCUACCCUGGAGCACCAGUACCAGGCUAUCCUGGAGCACCAGCACCAGGUUACCCUGGAGCACCGGUCGCUGGUUACGCUCCCCCGCCUCAACCAUAU